GAUGAACGCUGGCGGCGUGCCUAAUACAUGCAAGUCGAGCGAACGGACGAGAAGCUUGCUUCUCUGAUGUUAGCGGCGGACGGGUGAGUAACACGUGGAUAACCUACCUAUAAGACUGGGAUAACUUCGGGAAACCGGAGCUAAUACCGGAUAAUAUUUUGAACCGCAUGGUUCAAAAGUGAAAGACGGUCUUGCUGUCACUUAUAGAUGGAUCCGCGCUGCAUUAGCUAGUUGGUAAGGUAACGGCUUACCAAGGCAACGAUGCAUAGCCGACCUGAGAGGGUGAUCGGCCACACUGGAACUGAGACACGGUCCAGACUCCUACGGGAGGCAGCAGUAGGGAAUCUUCCGCAAUGGGCGAAAGCCUGACGGAGCAACGCCGCGUGAGUGAUGAAGGUCUUCGGAUCGUAAAACUCUGUUAUUAGGGAAGAACAUAUGUGUAAGUAACUGUGCACAUCUUGACGGUACCUAAUCAGAAAGCCACGGCUAACUACGUGCCAGCAGCCGCGGUAAUACGUAGGUGGCAAGCGUUAUCCGGAAUUAUUGGGCGUAAAGCGCGCGUAGGCGGUUUUUUAAGUCUGAUGUGAAAGCCCACGGCUCAGCCGUGGAGGGUCGUUGGGAACUGGAAAACUUGAGUGCAGAAGAGGAAAGUGGAAUUCCAUGUGUAGCGGUGAAAUGCGCAGAGAUAUGGAGGAACACCAGUGGCGAAGGCGACUUUCUGGUCUGUAACUGACGCUGAUGUGCGAAAGCGUGGGGAUCAAACAGGAUUAGAUACCCUGGUAGUCCACGCCGUAAACGAUGAGUGCUAAGUGUUAGGGGGUUUCCGCCCCUUAGUGCUGCAGCUAACGCAUUAAGCACUCCGCCUGGGGAGUACGACCGCAAGGUUGAAACUCAAAGGAAUUGACGGGGACCCGCACAAGCGGUGGAGCAUGUGGUUUAAUUCGAAGCAACGCGAAGAACCUUACCAAAUCUUGACAUCCUUUGACAACUCUAGAGAUAGAGCUUUCCCCUUCGGGGGACAAAGUGACAGGUGGUGCAUGGUUGUCGUCAGCUCGUGUCGUGAGAUGUUGGGUUAAGUCCCGCAACGAGCGCAACCCUUAAGCUUAGUUGCCAUCAUUAAGUUGGGCACUCUAAGUUGACUGCCGGUGACAAACCGGAGGAAGGUGGGGAUGACGUCAAAUCAUCAUGCCCCUUAUGAUUUGGGCUACACACGUGCUACAAUGGACAAUACAAAGGGCAGCGAAACCGUGAGGUCAAGCAAAUCCCAUAAAUUUGUUCUCAGUUCGGAUUGUAGUCUGCAACUCGACUACAUGAAGCUGGAAUCGCUAGUAAUCGUAGAUCAGCAUGCUACGGUGAAUACGUUCCCGGGUCU
rnacentral:rRNA from 1 species